UACGAAGGGUGCAAGCGUUACUCGGAAUUACUGGGCGUAAAGCGCACGUAGGCGGAUUGCUAAGUCAGGGGUGAAAUCCUGGAGCUCAACUCCAGAACUGCCCUUGAUACUGGCGGUCUCGAGUCCGGGAGAGGUGAGUGGAACUGCGAGUGUAGAGGUGAAAUUCGUAGAUAUUCGCAAGAACACCAGUGGCGAAGGCGGCUCACUGGCCCGGUACUGACGCUGAGGUGCGAAAGCGUGGGGAGCAAACAGG
rnacentral:rRNA from 1 species